UACGGAGGGGGCAAGCGUUGUUCGGAAUUAUUGGGCGUAAAGGGCACGUAGGUGGACUAGUAAGUUAAAAGUGAAAUACCAAAGCUUAACUUUGGAGCGGCUUUUAAUACUGCUAGACUAGAGGUCGAAAGAGGAUAGCGGAAUUCCUAGUGUAGAGGUGAAAUUCGUAGAUAUUAGGAGGAACACCAGUUGCGAAGGCGGCUAUCUGGUUCGAUACUGACACUGAGGUGCGAAAGCG
rnacentral:rRNA from 1 species